UUCUCUUCUCUUCCCUUAAUUCCCUCAUUCUCCCAUUCUUCCCCACUAUCUUUGCUAACUCGAUCCAACCACCGGCAUAACCACCUUCGCUAUCACGUCCUCCAUGAAUUGGCGCUGAGGGUUUUGAUAGAACAUGAAAAUUACAAGGAAAUCAAAAAUCAAAGAUCAAAGCAACGGGUUUCAUUCAUCAAAAUUUGAGAUUUUAGUAGUUUUUAACUUACUCAAGACAAGAGCUAUUAUGGCUACGAACAAGGUGUUAAUUUCUAUCAAAUUCUCAAUCAAUGUUUCAGUUUUGCUUCAUCCUUUGAUUCUACUGUGAUUUGAUUUAUUGAUCAACUUUUGUUCUAUAAUCUGGGUGAGUGAGAUGAGAUCUAAAAUUGGAAAGGUUGAGGGUCCCGAGUUGGCUGAUUGGGUUUUUGAUGGUGGUCCCGAAGAGUCAGAAAAAUAUUUGUGUAAGUUUUGGAAUAUUUUUUUAGUGAAAUCCCUUUACAAUUUUGGUUUAUCUUAUCUGUUUAGGUUUGUUAUCUAGAUCCGUUUCUCUUUUUUAUGAAGCCCUAGUUUUCAAUAGCAAGCCCCGAUUCUCCGAAAGCUCUUUCUUCAUUGGGAAAGGGAACCAGGAAGAACCUGUUGUCACAUUUGAUAUGGAGAAUAAGAGUGCAGAUGUUCAUGUAUUGAAAUUUGAGCUCUCUCUUUUUGAGACUCAGAUUUUGGUUAAUACUCCUCAAGGGAUAUUAUAGAUAUCUUCAGGUUUGCUCGGGAGGCACAAUAUUUACAACAUUCUUGCGGCUGUGUCGGUUGGCAUAGCUUUGGAGCACCUUUGGAAGACAUUGUUAGAGGAGGAUUGGAGAAGUUGAUGGCGUACCAUGUAGGUGUUAGUUGAUAGAUGGAGAACAAGCAUUUGGAGUAAUUGUAGACUAUGCACAUACAACUGAUGCCUUGUUGUAAGGGAGUUUGCGCCAUGAAGAAUUAUCACAGAGGGAUAGAGGGAAGAGACCGAUAAUGAUGAAGAUAGCUACAAAAAAAAGUGAUGUUACUCUUUGAACUUCUGAUAACCCUAGGAAGGAAGAUCCAUUGGAUAUAUUGGAUGACAAGUUGUCUGGUGUAGGAUGGUCAAUGCAAGAACUUUUUGAAUUUGGUGAGAAUGAUUAUUACCCCACCUCUUCCCAAAUGGACAUAGGCUCCUCUUACAUGACAUUAGGCGUGCAGCUGUACGGGCCUCUGUGGCCAUGGGAGAGGAAGGGGAUAUGGUUGUGGUUGCCGGGAAAGGUCAUGAAUCAUUUUAGAUAGAAGGUGAAAAGAAAGAAUUUUCUGAUGAUAGAGAAGAGUGUCAUAAGAAUUGCAGUACGUCAACGAGCUUCACCAGGAUGUACUAGACACUAGCGUGGCGGUAAUUCACUCACCUUUUUUUCCAGAAAACUUCAGUUAUAUGGGUAGCAUAUGAUUCUUCACAUCUCCUUAGAAAAGAGUUUGAUUGGUUUAAGUCAUUAUUAUGUGCCUGUGUUUUGUUUGGUCUUGAAUGAUCUAAUAUAAAGUGAUUUGACCAUCUUCGAUAUUGGAAACUUUAAUUUUCGGAUAAUUUACAUGCACGAUUUUGUUGCACAUGCUACAGU